rnacentral:rRNA from 1 species
AGAGCGAACGCUGGCGGCAGGCCUAACACAUGCAAGUCGAACGGAUCCUUCGGGAUUAGUGGCGGACGGGUGAGUAACACGUGGGAACGUGCCCUUUGGUUCGGAACAACUCAGGGAAACUUGAGCUAAUACCGGAUAAGCCUUUCGAGGGAAAGAUUUAUCGCCAUUGGAGCGGCCCGCGUAGGAUUAGCUAGUUGGUGAGGUAAAAGCUCACCAAGGCGACGAUCCUUAGCUGGUCUGAGAGGAUGAUCAGCCACAUUGGGACUGAGACACGGCCCAAACUCCUACGGGAGGCAGCAGUGGGAAUCUUGCGCAAUGGGCGAAAGCCUGACGCAGCCAUGCCGCGUGAAUGAUGAAGGUCUAGGAUUGUAAAAUUCUUUCACCGGGACGAUAAUGACGGUACCGGAGAGGAAGCCCGGCUAACUCGUGCCAGCAGCCGC